UUAAAACAUGGGGAGGGCACAAAGUUGAAGAAGGCUGAGCUAGCUUGUGAUUUCACACAUCGCUCCCACUGCAGAACGGAAACUUCCAGCCUCUCUCUGGUUUGCAACAACACUGCAACUAAUACAGUAAGGUAAAGGUAAAGGGACCCCUGACC